rnacentral:sRNA from 1 species
UGACGCCAGGGUCAAAAGGUCAUGCAUUCCAUGCUGGCAUGGAAAUGCAUAACUUUGGAGCCCUCUAAAACAGCCCGAUCAGGGCAGAUUUUGAAUGUUUUGAGGAUUUGGAUAGCACGCAGUACGGAGAAAUCCGAGGCAUCA